UACGGAGGGGGCUAGCGUUGUUCGGAAUUACUGGGCGUAAAGCGCACGUAGGCGGCGAUCUAAGUCAGAGGUGAAAGCCCGGGGCUCAACCCCGGGUCUGCAUUCGAUACGGGUCUGCUAGGGUCCGGCAGGGGAGACUGGAAUUCCUGGUGUAGCGGUGAAAUGCGCAGAUAUCAGGAGGAACACCGGUGGCGAAGGCGGGUCUCUGGGCCGAUAUUGACGCUGAGGAGCGAAAGCGUGGGGAGCAAACAGG
rnacentral:rRNA from 1 species